rnacentral:lncRNA from 1 species
GCGGAUGAGGAGGAGCCACUUCAGGAUGGGGCUUAUGACUGUUCUGUGUCCUGACAGCAGUGAGCACGGCACAGCGGGCAGUAUUAGUCACAGCAGCUUGCAACUGAGUCAUUGUGGCCUGCCGAAUGACUUAACAGGUAAAAGAACUUGGGUCAGAACUCUUUCGUAAAGUAUUAUAAUUUAAUGAACUCUUCCUCUAAAUCUCUUUGACUCCUUAAAAAAAAGUGUGGUAUCAAAGCAUCUUUCAUAAGAAAAAUUUAAGCUGCAAUAGAAAGUAGUGAACAGUAUAUAGAUGCACACAUGGAAUAUUUUGAUUUUAUUUACAACAGAUUGGUAGUUGUAGGGAUUAUUCUUAACAGGAGGGAUUAUUUUGCCCCAAGCGAGCUUACUUUUUCACUACUUACAGCUUAUAUAUUUUCUGGUUUAGUGUGUGUCUAGACUGGUUUUGUUUUUGUGGGGUGGGUUGUUUGUUUUUAACUUUCUUUUAAAUAUGUGUUAAGGUGCUGUAGCUCAUCAGGUAACUGAGCUACUUGUUUGCUUCCUUGUAUAGAGUCAGCGGGACUCUGAUUGGUCCUUUGAAUCCUACUCUUGCACAGUGUGGGUCAGUGGACAGAGACCCUUUGGCUUUGGUACUCUGUUGACUAGCAGUCCUGAAUGACGGAAGCUAUUUACCUGUGAGUUAAUGUGCCUGUUUUAGCAAGCUUAAUUUCCUACUAGAUCAAUGUGGGCAGAGGGUGAGGGGGUUCUUAUCAAUUAUGCUGACACCACUAAAUUUUGUAUCAAAGAACUGUAUCUUUUUGUGAAUAUUCAUGUAAAUAUACUCAAAGGCACUGUCCAUAUUUUUAAUGCGUGUAUUAUAAUGUGUAAGGUUUUACGCUGGAUUCUGCAUGACUAUACUCACUCUUGGAAUAAAGACAAGACUUUUUCUUCUUUC